GUCUUCCUUCUGUAGCACAUAAACUAAACUUGAAAUAAUUCAAAAAGAUGGCAGUGCCCCUGAGCAAGGCUAAUGUCCAAAUUCAUGAAGAAUUUCGUAUUUUU